GACGAACGCUGGCGGCGUGCCUAAUACAUGCAAGUUGAGCGCUGAAGGUUGGUACUUGUACCAACUGGAUGAGCAGCGAACGGGUGAGUAACGCGUGGGGAAUCUGCCUUUGAGCGGGGGACAACAUUUGGAAACGAAUGCUAAUACCGCAUAAAAACUUUAAACACAAGUUUUAAGUUUGAAAGAUGCAAUUGCAUCACUCAAAGAUGAUCCCGCGUUGUAUUAGCUAGUUGGUGAGGUAAAGGCUCACCAAGGCGAUGAUACAUAGCCGACCUGAGAGGGUGAUCGGCCACAUUGGGACUGAGACACGGCCCAAACUCCUACGGGAGGCAGCAGUAGGGAAUCUUAGGCAAUGGACGAAAGUCUGACCGAGCAACGCCGCGUGAGUGAAGAAGGUUUUCGGAUCGUAAAACUCUGUUGGUAGAGAAGAACGUUGGUGAGAGUGGAAAGCCCAUCAAGUGACGGUAACUACCCAGAAAGGGACGGCUAACUACGUG
rnacentral:rRNA from 1 species